UACGGCCGCAUCACGCUGAAACAUUGAUUCCCGUAUGAUCACCGAAGUUAAGCAACAUCGAAUCUGGUCAGUAUCUAGAUGGGUGAUCGCUUAGGAAUACUCGUUGCUGUAAG
rnacentral:rRNA from 1 species